rnacentral:lncRNA from 1 species
CUUCAGCAAAAUUUAGAAAUAUUGGCUCUGAUACCAACUUGAAAUCAAUAAAGGGAAGAAUUUUUCUUAUUCUUACAUUCAAUGGAGAUAUACAGGUACAUAUAUAUAGCUGUAGAACAAUAAUCUCGACCCCACAAUUAAGCUACAGUUCCAACAAUCAAGUAAUAUGUUCCUAUAAUGAAGCUAUUUGUCUAAUUAAGCUACCCACAAUUGCUGUAGAGUUUCAAUGGUAUUGGGAAAGGAAAGAAUACAAAUUGGAGGAAAGAAUCUUAAUAUUCCAACAUGAGCUUCACAUACAAGACAAAUUCAGAGACACAAAGUAUUAAGAAGCUGUGAAAGUGAAAAAAAUAAUGCAUGUUUGCAGCAAAUGACGCUAUAUAAAUGGCAGCCAAAAGUCAAUGGUCAUUGAGGGAGGAA